rnacentral:lncRNA from 1 species
GAUCACAAAUGUUUUCUAUCCCUUAGAACAAGAUUCCUUGUAAAAAUAGGAAAUUCAGUUUGUAGAAUGAAAAUCGAUACGUAAUCAUUUGAAUUAUGUUUUUGUAUUCGUUAAAAGUACAGGGUGCAAUUUUGUUAACACAUUAUGUGUUGUAUUAUGGAUAGGAUUGGAAGGUAAGGUUGUUUUAUUGAUGGUUUUGAGUCCUCCUUUGAUCGUAUAGAGGAAGAAAAAUGUUUGGCCGUCAAGAUAUAAUCUUUCUCAAAUGUGGUAAAAUCUUUAUAGUUAAAAAACAUUAAAACUAUAUUUGAUUGGUUGUAAUAGACUAUGCAUUUCACACUUGUUUAGGCUUAAUUCUCAAAUCUACAACCAAACAAAAGGUUAGGUUUAAUGGGCUGUUUAAGUUCCCAUUACAAUUCAGGGAUUGAAUACAAUUUAGCAACCCUACAUCUGAAUUGUUGUUUGGUGUAGAGAAAAAAAAAAUCCUCCAGAUACCUAUUCACAUUCAUCUUCCUCACCUAAUCAAGCCAUAAACCACCUAGCUCAUUCAAUUUCAGUGAACCAAGAAAUCUCUUCAUUGAAAGGCAACGCUACAAUGAUGUUAUUCGUUUCAGUAUAACACUCCGUCACAAGGUAUGUCUCAAUCUCUCUGUGCUUAGAUUAUACUCCAUUUGAUUUGAUAUUUCCUUAAAUAUAUAAUUUCUUUUUUGUCUUUUCACUCUAACCCCCAUCUUAAUUCAUUUGAUUUUUGAUGUUAAUGAUUUAUUAUGAUUUCUGAUUCUUUUAAGCUCUUGGUAGCAAAUCUCUCCUCUUACUCUCCAUCAAAGUAGGCUUUGCUCAAUUUCUUAUUUCUGUAAAAAUUGGUCUGCCCACUUAUCUAUAUAAUUAAAUGCAGAAUUAUUAAUCAUUCGUGGCUUUUUCUUAUAUCUAUUCUCUUAAACUAUAGGAAUACGAUUACAUUAUUAAUUCUAUCAUGAUACUCGAUUCUAUUUUAUUUAUUAGUCUAUUAUGAUACUCAUUCACUAUUCUAUUCCGACAAUAAAAAAAAAAAAGAACUCUAUUCCAUUAUAAUUCAUGAUCACCGUAUCAAUGGUUGUGAUUCUCAAUCCAAUUUCAACUAAAUAAUGAUUAAUUCAACCAAGCUCAACCGAUUUUCCAUUCCAGUUCAAAAAAUUCACGAUCUAAUCAAUCUAGUUCCAACUAUGACCUAGUAACAAACUUAUGUUUGUUUCAAUUCUUUAACACCAAAUUCAAUACUAAGAUUUAAGUUGAUGAACAAUUGCCAUAUGUAAACUUUGCCCAAUUAUAUUUCAAUUCUUAGUGUUAGUUUAAUGUUAAUUAAAUUCUAUUCUAUAGGUCAUAUAUUCAUAUAACCGUACGUUUUACUGGUAAACUCCUAAAAAACUCCUUAACAAUCCUUUCCCAUCCCCUUCUUUACAAAUACCCAAAAAUGAUUCUUUUAAAAAAAUUGAUUAAAUUAUGAAAUCAAAUUAACCAACCUAAUCGAUUGAAUCAAUUUUAAACCAAAAAAAAAAAACGAAGCUCUGAUUGAUUGGAUCUUCCACCUGCCUUUCUUUUAACCAUGACAGAGAACAUUUAAAUUACUGAAAAUCAUGACAUUGAUUUUUUUUUUUAAUUUUAGCUUAUUCUAAUACAAAGCAUACAAAGAUAAAAUUAAACAGUGAUAACGUUCAUCCAUAAUUGCACGACCAACACUGACCUCAAACAAAUCCCCCACUCUAGUAAUGAAAAACACGUCAUGGUGUUUUUCUAGUACGACAGAUAAGGGUGAAAGUACAAUCAUCUCCUUGGUUUAUUAUUAUGACAAGCUAUCAUCAAUUCCUUAAAAUGUUCAAUGUUUUUCAUCAGAUUGAAAUUGGGUCUCAUAAAAUUUACUAACCUUAGAACAGGGGCAAACUUGGUGGGAACCGCACAUGCAUCCAUUGUCUUUCAUACGUUGAUAAAUGAUUCCAUCCAAUCUCAUCCAGCAAUGACAGCUUCAUUUCGUAGAAUUUCUUCUUUGGUGGCUCUCCAUCAUCCUGAAUCAUGUCAUUUAGUACCUGCGACAAUAGCAGAUACUUGAGCUCAAGUUCCAGUACAGGGGAAACUAACCACAUUUGAAGUCAACUAAUGGGUUGUAUCGGAAAAUAACUUGUGAACAGCCUAAGGCAGUAACUAGCAUAAGCCUAAAAACAUAUCAAGGGAUAGAGAAUCAUUCCACAUAGUAUUCAAACAUUUUUUUUCCAGGCUGACAAGUGAUAUAAAGCAUUGACAAUCCAAGUUUCUUACAGUCCUCGUUCUUUCACUUCCAAUUCUUUAUUCCUAUUAUGAAAUUAGUGGUUUGUAUUGAAAGAGGGAAGAGACUUGAAUUGAAAUAAUAAUAAAUGCAUCAAUAUUCUUAAGGGGAUCCAUUUACACCUGUGUAAAACUAAAGUAGUUCUAUAUCAUUUAAUAUCUUUUUGAAUGAUUAAUAUUUUAACAACCCAACUGUUGAAUUUAUCGAUAUAAUUAUACUUAUCAUACAUGCAAUUUUUCGAACCGAUUCAAUAUGAUAGAUCUAAAAUAUUGUAUAUAUUAAUAUUUAUUGAAUAGUUGAAAGUUUUUUAAAUAAAAUAAAUAAUUGAAAAUUUAAUAUGCAUGAUCUAUAUAAACAAAAUAUGAAAAUGACAAAACCAUUAAAAUAUUAAUCGAACAAAAAGACAAAAAAGGGUGUAAGAUCACUCUAGUUUUAUACCGGUUUAUGUAGAUAGUUUCCUAUAUUAUUAUUGUCAUAGUUUCAAAUGCAUUUUAAACAAAAUACCAUUCAACUCAUCAAUUGAAAUUUUCAUCAGGUAACUUCUUUUUAGUGCUUACUAGGAUUGUAAGAAGAGAAAAUACCUUCAGUGCAGUUCCAAGCCUCCCAAAUCGCCUCUCCCGCAGUACAUAGAGGGU